rnacentral:lncRNA from 1 species
UAAAUCAAAGCACAUAGAUAUUUAUAUAUAUUAAAUAGGUUAGAAAAAAUACAUAUAUAUAUUUAAGCUAUCACAUAAUAAUAAUGAUAAGUAACAGUAAUGUACAUAAUAAUAAUAAUAGAAAUAAUAAUAAUAAUAAUAAUAAAUGAUAAUACAUUAAAAUAAUGAAGAAGAUAAUGAAAAAUGCUAGAAAGGGACUAAAUCGAAGUAAAGUCUAAAAUAUGGGGUGAAAUCGAAAUAAAAAAAAACAAAAAAAGACUAAAUCGUGAUGCGCACCUAAAGAGAGGGGACCAAAAUGAAAAAUACCCCAAAUCCCCAAAACGCAGCGUUAAAAAGGAUCGAAUUAAAGAAAAAUAAAAUUAUGGGGUUAAAUCAAAAAUAAAAGAAAAUAACGAAAAGGGGCUAAAUUGUAAUGCGCUGAAAAAUAGGAGGGACUGCGCGCGUAAAUACCCCCUUUUAAGAAAACACGCGGAUCCUCCCCUCUGGGUCGGGUCACCGCGCGGGUCAGGGGCAAAACGGCGUCGUUUUGACACCUGACCCUUAAGGGUAAAACGGCGUCGUUUUGAUCUGGGUAUUUAAACCCCACUUUUCUGAAAAAAAUUCAUUUUAACAGACCCUUCAAAAAAAAAUUCAAAAAAACUACAUUUUCCUCUCAACAGCUCAGCUUUCAGGGUUCCAAAGCCCCCCGUCACGCCGGCCGUCGGCCCACCGCGCCACCGUCGCGCCGGCCACCGUACACGGUGGCCGAAAAUUCAAAAAAGGUAUUUUUUUUAUUUUUUUUAAAUAAACUGCUUUUUAAUAUAUAUGUAUAUAUGUGUGAAAUAUUAAAAAUAAAUAAAUAUAGAGAAUAAAAAAAAUCACCUUUUCGAUUUUUUGUUUAUAUUUCCGGGCAAAAAUUACAAAAUAGAUGAAAAGAAAAAAAACCCCCUGUUUAUGAUGUUCGAAUGGCUUUAUAUAGCCAUUUUACAAAAAAUUUUUAUUGUUUGUUGCUGCUUGCGUGUGUUCUUCAUUUUGCAGGGCUGUUGGAGGACGAUGGGACGUGCGCGGCGCAAGUGGCAGAGCAGGUGAACGGCGGAGUUGGUGGGUCUGCUGGUAUGGGUUCUUUUGUUUCUUUCUUGGGCCCGGGCAAAUGGGCCUGCAACAUUAAGCAUACAAAGAGCUUGUAGGCACCGAAUGGUGUAUGGCCAAGUGGAUAUAGUCUAACAUAGCUUUGGUCUGGUCUUGGGGCGAGCCGAAGACUGUACCUUAUUACCACUAUUCAUGUUAUGCUCAUGCUGAUUGUGUGAUUAUCUGAAGUGCAUGAUGACUAAAAUGUCAAUUUAACUGGCAUUGACUUGAAAUCCUAGGGACGGAAAACAAUUAUCAGUUUUUUCACAUUGUAUGCAAGAAAGAUACAUUUUCUUUAAGAAAAUGGCUCUCUCUCUCUCUUUCCUCCCCUUUAGUAGGCUUAAUUUUUAUUCAUGUCAGCUGCUGAAGCGAUCGAUGGACCACCUUUUAUAUCUUUCAUGUGCAGAUCAUGUUAACAUCAUAAAAGUUUAUUUUUCAUACGCGCAUCUAUAUAUUGACUUGCUAAAGUUGUUUGAGGAAAUUAUUGAACUAAUUUUGGCCUUCCUUCUUCUUGGUGCAGUUGUUCGACCGAUACCGGGGCAGGCGGGUGCCAGUAUAACCUCAUAUGUAUCAGAACUUAACACACUCAUGGUUAAGAAUAGAUGGUUGUUAAAUGACUUAAAUCUUACUAACUAGGAUCCCAAAUAAGACACCAACUUGUACAAGUCAUAGGAUUAUCUGAUUUUUUUUUCUUUUCCUUCUUUUAAACCUAAGUUCCCUUUCUUUACCAUAUCUUGCCUCUGUUGUGCAAAGCUCUUUUAUUCAAUUUGGGCAUUUUCUUCCAUUUCUUUGAAUCCCGAAACCUGCAUGUACAGCGUUUAGCUAAAACAUUUUGAGUAAGAAGAAUACAACAGAAGCUUGAAAAUACGAGUUAUUCAGCUGAAAACGGUGCAUAACAAAUAUGAGUUACUUCGAGAACAAAUUUUGUAUCAUCGAAAGCAUUACCGUUGUAUUGGCUCCUUGAUAACCCCAAAACAUAACCGAAUGGGUCUGUCGUUGGGUUAGCGAAUGACCUUUUCAUAUUCUUAUUUUGGUAAUAAAUAUGUAUAUUAACUCGUGCAUGAAGAGUGCUUUAUUUGAUAAUAAUGUUCAUCUCCACAGCCACACGGUAUUGUUGGCAGAGUUUUCGGCAUUAGACUGUUACUUGUUUUAAUUUUUUUUUUCUCUCUUGCUGGUGGUUCUUGUGAGGAUCUGUAAGGUCAUAUAAAUUAGCUGCUAUGACUCAUGUAAGAGACAAAUGAAAAUAUAAAGUGAAUAUCUAUCCAAAGGAGCAAAAGGACAGAGAUAAUGCAAUAUUUGAAGCACACACCAACGUCAUACUUAUGUUACGGGGUUAGAAUUUAAGUCUUGCAAACCGUAUGGCUUUAGGCAGAAACUUAGCUUCAAAUUUGUUUAAGUCAUCCUAACUAUUGAAAGUGUGAAUUCACAAAGGAAAUUAUCUAAGGCACUGAAAUAAAACGGAUGUUUGAGUAAAUGCUCUCAAAUAUAUUUAGUCCAAUGGUACAAAUUGAAUUAUAUCGAUGGCUGAGAUUAGUGUUUAUUUACAAGAUGUCUUAAGAUAUUUAAACUCUAUGCAUUCUUAUCAUUUAGGGUUUAUAAUAUUUAUCUUGGUAAAAAUACAAGUUAUUAGAGUGUUUACAUUUUAACCAACAUCCAAAUAGAUUGGCCUUGAGUUUCUUCAAAGUAAUAGGUUAGUCUUGUCGGGCCAAAUGACCCCAAUUGAAUAAAAAGGGUUUACAAGUGCAUCGGUUGCGAGCUUCUUUGCGCAGCCCAUGACAUUCUCCCCUACCUAUUCUACACUCUCAUCGCGUCCUCGGAAUGGAACUGGUCCAUCUUGUCUUAUAAUUGCCAUAAAGCCUCGACAAGUUCCCAACUUGCCUCACUAUUAGGAAGUCCUCAUCAAACAAAGUACUCAUGCCUUGGCCUAUAAUACUUCUGUCGAAUCACACGGUCUGCCAUGAUGCACACAACGUCACGGUCGUAAGAGACCUUAAUUCCCAUCAGUACUCUCUCAUACUUGCCUCGAUUUAGAUCCUCUUGAUCCCCAUAGAAAGGCUUAAGCAUACUAACAUGGAACACUGGAUGAACCUUGAGUUUUGUUGGCAACUCAAGUUUGUAGGCCACCUCGCCUACCCUAUUCAGAACUUUGAAAGGUCUCUCAUACCGUCGCACAAGCCCCUUGUGCAAGCCAGUAUGAUGCAAAAAUAAGUGUAAUUUGGUAAGGACUAAGUCACAACCUAAAACUCGACAUCUCUACAAUUACGAUCAUCUCAUUUCUUAUUGCACUUACUUGCCUUGUGUAGGCAAGCUCUAGCUAAGUCAUUCUACUCUUGUUAGUCCUUAGAAAAUCAGCUAGUUGUUUGAUUUGAUCCAUUAUAACAGGUAUCAACAAUGUUGGGUGUGAGUGGUUGUUGCCCUUUCACUAUCUCAAAAGGAUUGAUUUGUGACCUCACUCCAUUGCAAGUUAUAAGAAAAUUGGGCUACAUCCAACAACUUUGGUCAGUCUCUCUGUGUAGCACUCACAUAAUGCCAAAGAUAAAUCUCCAAAAAAUCAUUUAAUAUCUCGAUUCACCCAUCAGUUUGUGGAUGCAUGCUAGUAAAAAAGUUUAAGUCUGACCUCAUCAACUUGAACAACUUUCUCCAAAAUCAGCUCAUAAACCACCCGUCUCGAUCAUUAACAAUAGACUGUGGCACUCCCCAAUAUUUCACAUGUCUAAGGAAUAAACGAGUUGCCUCAUCAGCAAUGCACUCAUUGAUUGCUGGAAUGAAAGUUUCAUACUUGGAAAAACCUGUCAACCACCUCAAUAAUUCUCUCAAACCCAUCAAAUUUAGGCAAACCAAUAAUAAAGCUCAUGGAUACACUCUCCAUGGGCACUCCGGAAUGGGCAAAGGCUGUAACAAAUCAGUCGAAGUUUUCAACUCAACUAUUAACACACUAAGCAAGUUUUCACAUAGGUCUCGACAUCAUCAUCAUCCAUGUGAAGCUAAUAAUAACUGUCCUCCAAAAGAGACAAUGUGCAGUGCAUGCCUAAAUGGCCAGCCCAUCUCGAAUCAUGACAUUCUUUCAUGACUUUUUUUGCGUAACUUCCCAUAUUGAGGCACAUAAAGGCGAUACCCCCAAGUAUACAACAAGUCUCCCUCAAGCCAAAAUCGCCUCAUUUUCCUCUCUUUAGCAUACUCAAUCAACAAUAUAGCUGUGGGAUUAUGGGACAAACCCUCCUUAAUGCACUUCAAUAAAGAAUUGUCAAGUUGACUGAUUAUUGCAAAAUCUAUCUUUUAGCUUAGUGCAUCAGCCACUACAUUGACUUUUCUCAUCUAUACUCCAUACUGAAAUCAAAUUCUGUCAAGAAAACUUGUUAACGAGCAUGCUAGUGAGAUAACUCUUUCAAAGUUAAAAAAUAAUCAUUUGUAACAUUAUAUAUAAAUACCAUGAACCUAGAAACCAACAAAUAGUGCCUCCAAAUGCACAAACAAUGCACCAUUGUGGUUAUCUCUUUCUCAUAGAGCAUAUAUCGCUGCUCAGUAUCAUUAAGCUUUCGACUCUCAAAAGCAAUUGGAUAACCAUCUUGCUUCAGUACUCUCCCAAUUACAUAGUCUGAUGCAUCCAUAUACACCUCAUAUGGUUUAUUAUAAUCCGACAAAGUAAGCAUAGGCUAUUUGGUGAUUACAUGUUUUACUUGAUCAAAGGCUUUCUAACACUGAUCAUUCCAAUUCCACAUUUUACCCUUCUUCAAUAAAUCUGUCAAUGGUACGGUGACUCUGGAAUAACCUUCAACAAAGCAUUAGUAAUAAUUUUUCAACCCAAGAAAAGAUUGUAACUUUGUUAUCUUAGUUGGUGGCUCUCAAUCAACAAUAGACUGAAUCUUGCUCUCAUCCUUUUGAAUUUUGCCACCUCCUACAAUAUGGCCUAUGAAACGUACCUCGCAUUGUGCAAAUGAGCAUUUUUUUCCUCAUUCACAUAAAGCUCAUCCUCUCACAAGGUUUGGAACACUUCCCUAAAAAGCUUCAGAUGCUCCUCAGGUGACUUACUGUACUCCACAAUAUCGUUAAAAUAAACAACUACAAAGCUAUUUAAAAAAGGUUGAAGUACUUUAGUCAUCAAUGUGUAAAAUAUCGAUGGAGCAUUAGUCAGUCCAAAAAGCAUUACAAUGAACCCAAACGAGCCAUAGCAAGUCACACAAGUUGUCUUUGGCUCAUCGCUUUCAACUACUUUGACUUGAUGGUACCUCGACCGUAAAUCCAACUUAGUAAAGCACUUUGCACUACCAAGUUGAUAAAACAAGUUUGCAGAGUAGGAUUGGGUACCUGUUCUUUAUAGUGAUCAAGUUCAAUGCCUGAUAGUUUAUGCACAAUCUCAUUGACCCAUCAUUCUUUCUCUAAAAUAAAAUCGGUGCACUAAAUAGAGCUUUAUAUGGUUUAAUAAACCCAGCAUCUAAAAGCUCCUUCAAUUGCUUCCACAAUUCCUCGAAUUUCGAUGGUGGAAUUCGGUAUAGGGACUUGGUCGGAGGCUCGAAAUUGACAUUAACUCAACCAUGUGAUCCACUUCCUUCUUAGGUGACAAUUUCUUAUGCAACUUAACAAGUAUGACAUCUUGAAAAGGUUGUAAUAAUUGUGCCACCUCUUUUAGGGUUUCAUCAAUGAGCACAUGAGUUUCAAUAACUUUAAAGUUUUUAAGUAGGAAAUUUCAUCUCUACACACCCCCUUAGAAAAUUGUAUUGCGGGCAAUACCUUGGAUUAUGCACUCGCCUCACAUUUAAUCGAUACCACACAUUGAUGGCGUAAAUCCAAAAUACACAUGCAAUCAGCAAAAAGAACAAGAAGUGCAUUAUUCCAGUAAAGGAAAUGUAAACCAACCGCAAAGUUAUAAUUAUCAAGUGGUAUUACCUCAAUGGUUCCCUUAUCGGUCCAAUUCCUUUUGCAACACCCAUUAUCGAAACCCUCUUGGAAUUCAUUGUCUUGAUCCACCCCAGUUCUUUCUCAACCCUGAGACCCAAUUUUUUAGCAAUCUUUUUGGAUAUGAACAAAUCUGAAGCACCCAUGUCAAUGAGGGUAUUCAAUCUUUUUCUUGUCACAGUGAUGUCUACAAACAUCAGCCCCUUUCGUUUACGACCCUUCUUAGCUUCAACAAAACUCAAAAUUUAACAAAGUUUCAUGGACAUCUUUUUUGACUCACCAUCCCCCUUGAUGGCAAAAAUCAUAUCCCAUUUCGGAUAGUCUCUCAUCAUAUGUAGACUGUCAAAAAGGAAGCAUUUCACCAGGUCCCUCUAUUUCUUCUUUUCCUAUGGCUUGUUGGCUUGCGGCUUACCAUCGUCAUUCUUGGGUGGCUUGUCUUUGUCUCCCCCACCAUUUCCCUUUGGUUUGAAUUGGACUUAAUAGACUCGGACUUGUCAAGCUUCCUACCACCCAACUUUAUGAAUGACUUGGUCUCAUCCAUGGCCACGGUAAGUUCAAUGAUCCCCUUUCGGUGCAACUCCUGUUUUACCCACAAUUUCAGCCCAUCUUUAAACCAGUAAAAUAUUUCUUUCACACUCAAGUCAGAGAUUUGAAGCAUUAAUUCACUAAUGUCUUUGACAUACUCCUGAACAAUACCUUAUUACGUAAGCCGGCGUAAUUUAGCCCAAGCCUUCUCCUCAGCAUAUUGUAGGUAAAACUGCUUCUUCAACUUCUUUUAAAACUCUUCCCAAGUCUUAAUUGCAGUCUCUCCACGUUUCUCAUCUGUUGACCUACAAUGCCAUUAUAAGAGAGCAACAUUAGUAAAAUAAAUUGAAAUACUAUUUAUCUUAAUGGCAUCAUCCUCAAUGUUAAUCUCCCAGAAAUAUUGUUUCAUCCCUAGAGAAAUUGUCCACAUCCCUUGCGCACAUUGUCCCUUAAACUCUAUUUAUAGUGAAACUUUUCCAAAUCCAACAAUACAAAUUGAAUUACGUCAAUGGCUGAAAUUGGUUGAAAUUAGUAUCUAUCUACAAGAUGAGAGUUUUAAAGGAUUUAAACUCUAUACAUUCUUAUCCUUUGAGGUUUUAAAUAUUUUUCUUGGUAAAAAUACAAGUUAUUGUAGUGUUUAUAUUU